rnacentral:snRNA from 1 species
UUACUCUGCUUUUUCUUCAGACUGUAUAAAUCUUUCACUUUUACUAAAAGAUUUCUGUGGAGAGGAAAAUUUUUAAUUUUUGACUAGAUUUUUGAGGUUAUGGUCCCCGCCCUCUGGAAU